CGGGUAUAAAAAAACGAAAGAAGGCGACUGAAGUGGAUUUUUGAUUUUCGUUCUUGAUUUUUGCCUAUGCUUUAUAAUUUUUACAGUAAAUAUUUUGGUAGGACAGCGUCGAUUUCUAUAUCCGGUUGAAUUAUAAAAAAUCUCGUCGGUAUAAGAGGUUUGUCGCUAAAAGCAGAGACGUACUAACUUUGUGUGGGGACCAACCAAGCCAUCGAGUUUCCGUCGCAAAAAACGGACUGACGCUAUAAGCGAAGUCGUUAUACAUAUUUUAAAAAGGCGGUGAAUGGUGUGCAGGGUAAUAAUAUAAAUAUAUAUUUAUUUUUAGUACAAAUAUGCAAUUUACCAGAAGUAUACACGUUUUUAAGCAGCAUUUCACAAUCUCCAAAGCACAUAAAAUUGUAAGUCAGAUAAACAUUCUGCUUGUACAAAAAGCAACUGACGAUGUUAUUUAUAUUUCUAUGUUUUAGCCGACGAAUGGUUAAAACUUCAUUGCACAAAAGUGUAAGCUUUUCCAUUGGCUGAUCUGCAGAAAUUUUUAAAAUAGCCAAACAUUUAUUGUUUAAAUCUUUUGCUUUGUAAACCGUUCUGAUUUUUUCAUUUUUAAGUAUUUCUAACAGAUGGUAGUUAAAUAUAUUGUUACUGCACAUCAUAAAUACAGUAGUAAUUAUUUGACCGUAACCAACGAAACAAUUGAUUCUCUUCAUUAGCGCACAUAAUUUAUAUCCGAUUCCCACAGAGCAUCAGACAAACGGGCUAUACCAUUAAUAGCACAAUCCCACAAUGUGUAUUCCAUUAGAAUAGUUUAGAUUAGCACAUGUGUUACACCGACCAUAUAUCGUAAAAUAAGAGACUUAUUAAUAUGUUAUUAAAGAAGAAAUUUGCACCAACUGGAAGUACUAAAAAAUAAAUUUGGGUCUAAUAUAAAAAUAUUACAACCAUAGUGGCUGAAAAAGGACUCCGGCGCAUUAACCUUUUGAUCGCUGCUAAUUGGCAGCAACGUAAGUUUGUGGGAGAAUGUAUAGACGUAUGGACUUUGUGCCGUACUACUGAGUCAUUCUUCCUAACAGUGGUAAUAUUUAAGUACGAUUUACUUGCGACCCAGAAUCUAGGAUUGCUCGUGCUAAUUGAAACGGUCCUAAGCGAUCUCUUACUUUUACUACUGCAAUUGCAAGAAUAACUUGAUCACUACUAGUAACAUGGCAUGACUGUGCUUGACUAUGAUCAUCAUAAAAGCUAUUGCUUGUUCUUGUGAUUGCAGUUGAGACACUGAGCCCGAAACAUUUUGUUGUUGUUCUACCCCAUAUCUGUGAAAAGUUUGUUAUGGGUCUUCGAAAACACUCAACAUGUUGCUACCUUGCACUUUUUUUACUGUAUGUCCUUGAUUGAUACAAUUGAUGCACAAACGAUUGUGUUUGGCGAAAUCGAAACGUUGAAUCACAGGAAUAGCCGCGAAAACUUGGUAACAGCCUAACUUAUGAUUCUCGUUCUAACUUAUGAUGACUCGUUGUGGAGAUCUGUUUUUGUUCUGCAAGAAAACGACGAUUUUGAAUAGCCUUUAUUUGAAACUUGGGUAGUCUUCUUAUUAUUCUUAGUCGAUUAGUCAAACGAAACUUAUUGUAAUCUAGCUGCUCUUUAAACCGAGAUUUGGUGGUAUGACCUACUUUUGACAUUGCGAUGUGAAUAAAAAAAGCAUUAUUUAUAUUCUCUUCAGUUCCCAGUGACUGUAAUGAUGCAUAAAGAGCCGAUAUUUCAUCAAUAUGAAACCUCAAACCUGAUGCAGAGGGCUUUUGUAUAUAAGUCAAAUAAUUGUAAAAUUGUCUCGAAAAAAAUCAAACAUUUAUUAUCAAAAACGUUAUUGAAACUGGCCAGCGCCUUUUCAAAAUUUAUGUCUGAAAUUUGAAACACUUUCACACUUCCUAACACAUCAUUACUUAGACAUGAAAUCAAAUAAUUAAAUUUUUCAAUUAUUAGAGAAUUUCAAUUAAAGAAGAAUCGUUGUGAACUAAACUCUCGAAUAAACUCAUCAAGUUUUUAGAUUCA